rnacentral:lncRNA from 1 species
AGUGACUGCUACCGCCAAUUUGCCAUUGUCAGCUGCCACCUUUUUUAUCAAUGACCAUAUCCAGAUGUUCACCAUCCCAAGACUUGGCUUCUAUCAUCUCCCUGACCACCCCCGAAUAUGCAACACCAUAGAUUGCCCACUUCUAAUACAUGCUCAAUUGAGUCACCCGAGCGGUGCAAAACUACAAAAAUAGUGUCACGUCUCUCCAAGUUAUCUAAUUUGUCUUGUGAGUCUUGUCAAAAUGGAAAACAUACCCAUAGUUCACUCCCUAAUUGGAUCCAUAAAGUCUCCCUUUGCCUUGGUUCAUUCUGACACGGAGGUCCUAGCCGUACUGAGUCA